rnacentral:rRNA from 1 species
AGUUUGAUCCUGGCUCAGGAUGAACGCUAGCUACAGGCUUAACACAUGCAAGUCGAGGGGAAACGAUAUUGGAAGCUUGCUUCCGAUAGGCGUCGACCGGCGCACGGGUGAGUAACGCGUAUCCAACCUGCCCAUCACUUGGGGGAUAACCUUGCGAAAGUAAGACUAAUACCCAAUGACGUCUCUAGAAGACAUCUGAAAGAGAUUAAAGAUUUAUCGGUGAUGGAUGGGGAUGCGUCUGAUUAGCUUGUUGGCGGGGUAACGGCCCACCAAGGCGACGAUCAGUAGGGGUUCUGAGAGGAAGGUCCUCCACAUUGGAACUGAGACACGGUCCAAACUCCUACGGGAGGCAGCAGUGAGGAAUAUUGGUCAAUGGGCGAGAGCCUGAACCAGCCAAGUAGCGUGCAGGAUGACGGCCCUAUGGGUUGUAAACUGCUUUUAUAAGGGAAUAAAGUGAGAGUCGUGACUCUUUUUGCAUGUACCUUAUGAAUAAGGACCGGCUAAUUCCGUGCCAGCAGCCGCGGUAAUACGGAAGGUCCGGGCGUUAUCCGGAUUUAUUGGGUUUAAAGGGAGCGUAGGCCGGAGAUUAAGCGUGUUGUGAAAUGUAGUGGCUCAACCUCUGCACUGCAGCGCGAACUGGUCUUCUUGAGUACGCACAACGUGGGCGGAAUUCGUGGUGUAGCGGUGAAAUGCUUAGAUAUCACGAAGAACUCCGAUUGCGAAGGCAGCUCACGGGAGCGCAACUGACGCUGAAGCUCGAAAGUGCGGGUAUCGAACAGGAUUAGAUACCCUGGUAGUCCGCACGGUAAACGAUGGAUGCCCGCUGUUGGCCUGAAUAGGUCAGCGGCCAAGCGAAAGCAUUAAGCAUCCCACCUGGGGAGUACGCCGGCAACGGUGAAACUCAAAGGAAUUGACGGAA